rnacentral:rRNA from 1 species
GACAGAGGGGGCAAGCGUUGCUCGGAAUUACUGGGCGUAAAGGGCGCGUAGGCGGCAUGACAAGUCACUUGUGAAAUCUCCGGGCUUAACUCGGAACGGUCAAGUGAUACUGUCGCGCUAGAGUGCGGAAGGGGCAAUCAGAAUUCUUGGUGUAGCGGUGAAAUGCGUAGAUAUCAAGAGGAAUACCUGAGGUGAAGACGGGUUGCUAGGCCGACACUGACGCUGAAGCGCGAAAGCCAGGGGAGCAAACGGG